AACUCUCAUCCGUGAAAUAUAACUCUCAUCCAUGAGUUGAUUUGAUAGAUCCGAAAUUCAUAAUAUUGAAUUGAUUCAGUAUUAUCAGAAUGCAAGCCCUACCUUUGAAUUUACAAGAUACCCCUUUUUCCUCUCCAUGGGAUUACAUCCCGAGUUAUUGUGAAAAUAAAAAAUAAAGAGGUUAUGGAAGUCAAUAUUCUCGCAUUUAUUGCUACUGCACUGUUCAUUCAAGUUC